CUCCCCCCAUCCCAUCCCCGGAGAGGAAGGCAGGGAAGGGGAGAGGAGGGGGCAGCUAGCAAUCUGUGCCAGGCAGUCACAGCAGGGUUGGGGGGUCUGCCCUGGAGGCUCCCACUUGGGGAGUGAGAGGGGACCACAGUGGCAGGGACAGGAGUGCAGCCUGCAGUCGCGUGGGGCUCCAUGCUCGGUUUACUGCUCAGCUGUUGCCAUCUUGAAAUUCUUAAUUUCUGAGGAGGGGCCCACAUUUUUGUCUUGCACUGGGACCCACAAUUCUGUAGCCAUCUGAGGAAGGGUCAGCACAGGAAUCGGGGCCCACGGGGUGCUGCCUCUCCGCUUCCGGGGCCGCGGACUAUGCAUACAGCCGGCCGGAUGGCUCCGUCCCCUCCAGGUAGGGGGAAGACUGGGCCAAUGGGCCAGGUUUUUUCUGGGCAAGAGGCAAAGGGACUGAUAAGAGGCCUUGUGCUGGGCACUUGGCCAGCCCUGCCCCCACCGAGGGAAGGCAGUCUGCCCAGGAGUCCCACGGCCCGGGGCUCGGGCCCUCAGGGCUGGUCCUCUCCGAGGCACCGCUGGAGACAGAGCUGGCCCGGCACUUCCACCCACUCACCGGCUUCAGGAACGACAUGCCUUCUGGGCUCCUAGCCGAUCAGCACGUAGUAGGUGCUCAGUGAACGCCCCUGGAGGCCAGCAGGAGGUGGGUGGGGGUGGGAUGGGGGGGGAGGAACCUGCAGCCCCACUCAAGUCCAGGCUCUGCCACUUGCUAACAGAGCAUCUCUCUGAGCCUCAGGUUCCCCAGUGGUGGGGCCCUUGGAGGGCGCGGGCGUGGCCCCCCGUGACAAGCAUCCACUUGCUCUGCACAGCAUCCACCCCUGUCUUGUAGGAACAGCCCAAAUCCUCCUGUGGGGACCCCCACUCACAGGCUGACCCCACCUCUGGCACGCACGUGACUGGAACCUGGGACAUCACGGCCUCAACUUUGAGAUAAGCAGUCAGGCCAUGGGCUUGGGCCCCUGCAUCUGUUGUCAGGGCUGUGAGCUGUGAGCUGUCAGCCUGGAGGGGCCACACCAAGGGGAGUGGCUGCCUGAGAGGAGAGCAGGGCUGGGAGACAGGCUCUGACAGGAGCAGUCAGGCUCCUGGAUCCAGCCAUGCCUGAAGGAGGUCCACCACCAGUGAACCGUCAGACGCAUGCCCUGGGCUUCCUACUGAAGAACCUUCCAGUGAACUUCGGUACUUGUUACGUGACCUUUCCAGCUCUGCAUGAAUCAGCUGAGCAAAUUGUGAAAAUGUGAGAGGAUUACGCAAUGCCAGGAAAAGGUGGACCCAAACUGAGGUCUGGCAGGGACAUGGGGAAGUGGGCAGGGGUCUCACUGGGGUGACCGACACCCAGGGCCAUGGGAGAACCCAGGCGGCCCCGCUGUGCCCCUGCAGAAGGCAGGGCUCUGGUCAGGGACCGGGGGCAGGGACUUCAUGUUCCUAGUCACAGCCCAGCACUGCCACUUUCUGCUUGUGGCCCUAGGCCAGUCUUCCAGCACAACCACCUGGCCAGCGUGUCCUAAGAAAAGCAAACGGCUUCCCAAGCAAAGCUCCCCCAGCCCCCAGGGCAAGACCCAGGAGGUGCUCCUCCGGGACCCCAGCCCGCUGCCCCGCAGCCGUGCCCCCGCCCCCGGGCCUGGGGGCUGCGCACUGGUUUCCGUGCUGUGAUUUCCAGGUGUGUGUGCCUGUGCGGCCGAGUGACUGAGAUCUGUGCCCAGCCCGGGGGCAGGGGGGCUACUCUAGAGCAAUCCCUUGACCCCAGCCCUGGCCCAGGACCUGGUCCUGCAGUCAGGGCCACCCGCGGAGGGAGGGGACAUCUCUGUGACCUGACCUGUCCCUACAUGGUGGGAAGGAGGACGAGUGCCAGCUUCCUAGCUUCCUUCAGGAGCCCUACCCCUGGCUCAGGUCAGAAGCACACCCACAGACACACGUGUACGCACACGCGCACUCGGCCACACCCACACCCACACGAAGACUCACAGCCAGGCCCACAUACAUAGACACACUAAGAAACACAAGAGACACACAUGUACAGACACAUGCACAUAUGUGCACACACACAGGCAUACACAUAUGUACUUAACGGCACACGCAGACACACUGCACACAGACACACCUUGGGAGUUGCCCCAGGCCCCCUCCUUCCUCCUCGAGAACUCGGGGGACGUCUUCAUCAACCGGACCCUGUGCCCCAGCACGGAGACGGUCAGCUCUUUCGUUAUUUUCCUGACAGACACAGGCCCCGCAAGGAGCCGCCUGAGUCCCGGGGGACUCGGGGAGUAAACAGAGGUGCAACCCUGGGGCCUGGCCUCUCCCGCAGGAGGCAGCUCCCAGAGUGGGCCCCUCCUUCCGACCCCCCGAAGCAGGGGUCAGGGCCCCAUGCAGGGUGAGGGCCCUGCGUGUUUGCCCAGGGCUGGUACCGUGCGUGCAUGGCACACACACCUGCACAUGCGUGCACACACAUGCACACGUGCUCUCUGGACCCCAGCACAGAACAGCACAGGCCAGGUCAGGAGACCUGGAGUACCCCUGAGGGCUGGCAGGGGAGGGCGGCGUGGGACAGGGGUGUGUUUGCUGGGAAGAGAGGGAGGUGGGCUGUGGUUCCAGGGCCGGCACGGGGCCUUGGGGACCCUGACGGGGUCUGGGGAGGGGGCUGUCGGCCUCUCAGCCUCACCCCCCGAGCAGAGCAGGGCAGCAGCCAGACAGGAAGCUCGUGCACAGGAGUCAGAGCCCCAGGGUGGCCGCCAGCAUGCCCAGCCCAGCGGUCCCUCUGUCCCCUGUCCCAGACGGACGACCCUACCCGCACUGUGACCUCAGCUGCUCCAACCACGGGGAGGGUAUCUCUGGCCCGUGUAGGGAGCGUGCUGCCCCCAUCCCCACCCGCCCAGCCUCAACCCCAGGCCUGGGGUCUGAACAAUGGACUGGGGUCACCAGGCCCCGUCUGCCUCGUCAGCACUGUCACCAGGGCCACCUGACCUGUCCACCGCGAGAGGGGCCCAGCAGGGGACAGGAGGCCUGAGGGAGGGCGAGACAGGGCAGACGUACAAGGGCUCUGACCUGCUGUGACACUGGCGCUGCUGGGCACAGGGCGCAGAGCACGGACAGGCUCUGGGGGGCAGGGCCUCCAAGGGCUGGCGGAUGGCAGCCAGCCACGGCCAGCAGGAGUGCAGACAAAGGCAUGGCUCAGUCCCCACCCGUCACCCUGCAGCAAAGGCUGAGGGGCCGAGUCCAUGGCAGGAAGCUCCGGGGGCGGGGGCAGCUGCAGCACAGACGAGGACCCUGGGCCCGGGCUGGGCAGAGCUGGGCACCAUCCCUUCCUCCGCUUACACAUGCGGGUCCACGCUCCCCCCCUCACCCACUUCCACGAGCCCCAAGGCUGGGCCCUCAUCAGAGCAGCCUGUCUCCACCCAUGGCCAGGCUCGACAACCCCGAGGGUGUGAUGCUUACUACCCAGGGUCUGAUCAGGGUCUAGUCCACAGGCCCUGGAGAGUCCUGGCCGGGACUCAUGGUCUGAGCUUGGCUCAGGUCCCCAGCCCUGCUGACACAUGGCACAGCUGGGUCACAGCCACAGGAAACCCCACCAAACACUCUUGGGGAUGCAAGGGAGGUUCCCAGGCUGGGGCCAGCCCCCCAUAGCUGGAUUUGAGGGCCCUUCUGACACCUAGCCCCACCCAGGGCUCUGGAGAAGGCACCCUGGACGAAGGUCCACCUUCACCCUUCUUUCCUGCUUCUCCAUGGCUUAUGCUUUUUUUCUGGGUGGGGAGCCUCACCACGCAGCAUGAGGGAUCUCAGUUCCCUGACCAGGGGUCGAAUCCGCGCCCCCUGUAGUGGAAGCGUGGAGUCCUAACACUGGACCGCCAGGGAAGCCUGGCUUAUGCAUUCUUAGUGCAUGGAGAGAACCUGCAGAGACGCAAGCAGUUUCAUUCAUUCAUUCGGCAAAUAUCGAUACUUAACUGCCAACCUGGGAAGUGGGCACAUCCAGAACCACACCUGAGUCAUGCAGAGGCAGCUUCUGGGGGUGAGGGUGCCUCUUUCCUUAGAGAAGAGCAUUUAUUACCUCUGGCCCCCACCCCAGUUGCCCCUGCGCCUCCCUGGCAGCUGUUCGCGCGCCCUUAGAUCAGACCUCCUGCAGAGAGCCCCUCCCGAGAGCCCCUUUUCUCGUGGUUAAUAUCUCCACUGGCGCCAUCCUUAGGAGGAAAGGGCAAUAGGUGAGGAAAUUCAGACCCAGGGUCAAGUCCCCCUCCCAUCAGCUCUCCAAACUGUGCUCUCUCCAGCCUCUGAGUCCCUGCACCUGAGUCUCUCCGCUCCCCCCGCGUGGACACCAAGGCCCCAGAGCUCUUUUUUCUGGGGGCCACUGACGCAGGCCGUGGGAUGGGGGUGACCUUGCCUCUAAGCUGGCAGCACUGGCUCCAGGAGAGGGGGGGCGCAGGCCGGGAGGGAGGGCUGCCAGCUUCAUUCUUGCGGGUCGCCGCUGGGGAGGACUCCAGAACCUUCUGACCCAGGCUCUGUGGUCGGAUGUGUCUGGUGUGCGGAGAGCUGCCCCUCGUCCCUCACCCUCUCGCCCUCAUUCUCACGCUGGGCCCUGUGCUCACAGCAGCCAGGAAGCAGAAGACACAGAUGCCCAGGAAGAAGGCCGUCUCCUCAGUCCGUCCCCAGUCCCACUGCCCCGCCUGCCCCCAACCCGUGAGCUUCAUCUCAGGGACCUCCAACCGAGCUCUCAGUGCCCAGGCCCGCUGUCCCCCCAGGACCAGGCAGGGGCUCCCUGGACACUGCCAACAAAGAAAGGCACUGCCAGGGGAAGCGGCACAGGCACACGGGACCCACAGGGGACGACUGCCCAGGUUGGGGUUCAAGUGACAUUGACCAUAUUGCUGUAAGCUCAAGCAAAGCUGCCCCAGCUGGCCACCAUGACUGUCCAAGCCAGGCCAAGGGGGCUAAUUUUGGGUGCUGUUGGUAGCCCUGUCUUCCUCCUGGGGAGUGGACAAGAGCAUAGGAGAGCAGCCUGGAGCUUCAGGAAAGAGAUCUUAGGGGGACACUCCCUUCCGGGAAUGAGGUGGAUGCAGGGAAAAGACAGGUGGAAAGAGAAGCUGUUCUUUGAGUUCCUGGAUGCAGCCGUGUCUGAAGCCCACCUCCUGGACUUUUCAGCCGUGGGCAACAAUAAACAUUCCUUUACUUAGG